CUCAUGUGUUGCCUGCUGGCGCGCGCGGGACUCAUGUGUUGCCUGGUGAUGCGCGCGGGGCUCAUUUUUUGCCUGGUGACACGCGUGGGGCUCAUGUGUUGCCUGGUGAUGCGCACAGGGCUCAUUUGUUGCGUGGUGACGCAUGCGGGGCUCAUGUAUUGCGUGGUGACGCGCUGUCUUAGAAUAGAAGGGAAAAUGUUUAAUACAAUGUAUGGUGUUCUGUAAUGUGUUGUGUCUUUUCUUUGUCUCUGCUUCAAAUUGACUGUUG